CUCGGCACUCGGCAAUUCCACCCGUUGUACCUUAAAUUACAAACUACAGCGUGUGUUCGUUUUUUUGCUUAAAUUUACAAACUACAGUGUUCGUUUUUUGUAUCACUUCUUUGUUCGAAUUGUUGUCAUCGACGUCGGGUGAACAAGUGAACAACAGAAGAUUUCAUUCAUAGCUACUUUACAAAAUACCUAAUAGACUGUCGCGUGAUUACCGUCAAGUUUAUUCUUUCAUACAAUUUGUUCAUUUUGUUGUUAAUUACGGUCAAUUACCACUAACUUUUUACAAAC